rnacentral:rRNA from 1 species
GACGAAGGGGGCUAGCGUUGUUCGGAAUUACUGGGCGUAAAGGGCUCGUAGGUGGCCAACUAAGUCAGACGUGAAAUCCCCAGGCUCAACUUGGGAACUGCGUCUGAUACUGGAUGGCUUGAAUUCGGGAGAGGGAUGCAGAAUUCCAGGUGUAGCGGUGAAAUGCGUAGAUAUCUGGAGGAACACCGGUGGCGAAGGCGACAUCCUGGACCGGUAUUGACGCUGAGGCGUGAAAGCCAGGGGAGCAAACGGG